ensembl:lncRNA
UUUUGCCCUUGGGCCAUCUGCAACCAGACAGCAAUAAACUCUUUGCUAGUUGCUUGAACUUUGCCUGCCUCAGUAGUCUCAAUUUUGUCUGUCUGAUCUUACAGGAACGAGAGAGUCUAUUUAUAAUUAUGCAUCCAUUUGUUGACUCCCUAUAAGGAAGGUAAAUGCAGUUGGACAAAGAUUGAUUCUGGAAAGGGAAAACACUCCAUGAAACUGAGUCAACAUUUAAGAAAAUGUCCUCAGAAUCAUUUGACAAAGACAACACAGAAAAGAAUCCAUAUGGAUUAGUUAAAUGAUAAGAUGCCUUUAAAAUUGGUAAAUAGGAUGCCGAGCCAAAGUCGCAAGUCCUGUGGAACGCGCCGAAUCAGCUCGCUACAGACAGGCAGGUCUGCGGACACCAUAGCAAAGUGGCGAGUCACACCGAAUGCGCCCAAUCAGCCCGCACCCCCACAGCAAUCCACUGGACACCCCCUCCCCACCCCCCCCACCCCGCUCCUCUGUACAGCCACCUGGUUCCACACUACAAAGAUGCAGAGGACACUGGACCACGAGACCACUGUACUGGAUAAGUUGGAGUCAUCCUCACCUCCCAUCAGGACCCAGACUAUCUUCAGGGGAAGGGCAGCUGGAACCUGCAAUUCAACUCUGCAGAGUUCAACCCUACGGGAGGACAGGGAGCUCAACUUGGGACUUGCAGCCAGAAAUCUGCCUGAAUCUCUCAUGAGUCUGCGACUAGCUUGCUGAGACUCAUUGACUUAUAUCUGCACACUGCAACCCACACUGGCUAUUGUGACAGCAGAGACAUACCCUGAAAGAGGCCCUUCAUCUUCACUGUUAUUUUUAUUCCCAAAAUUAGUAUUAUUAGUUUGUUUUUUCUCUCUUUUCUUCUCUUUUGCUCCUCUUAUCUUUAAUUUUAUUCCUAC